GGAAAAUCCGCUCUUGCACAACAUCUGUGUGACUCGGUCAUGUAUAGUCACAGCCAAUGUGUGUGUUAUUACUUCAUCUGUGUUCUCUCUUUUUUAAGUUCAGCCUGUCAGAAAUGUCAGGAUAAAACUGACACAGUCUGUCACAGAGUAGUCAGACUUCUUUCUUGCCUGAAGUUGAAGUAUCUGUGCUGGCGUAUGACAUGAAUCGGCGAUGUAUUACCGCAUGAUUCCACGAGGCACGAUCCCUGAGAAAGCGGGCAGAACAGGAAUCAUUCCCAAUGAUCUCAUCUGCUCCAAGAUUUUAACCUGCAGGGAAGAAAGUCAUCCAAGUUCACAAUUUGAGUGUCUCUCCAGCUUGAUUUUUCUCUUCACUUAAUUUUUCACUAUAACAGAUUGUAAACGGACUAAGUUAAAAAAACACACACACACCUGCAGA